UACGUAGGGCGCAAGCGUUGUCCGGAAUUAUUGGGCGUAAAGAGCUCGUAGGCGGUUUGUCACGUCGGAUGUGAAAGCCCGGGGCUUAACCCCGGGUCUGCAUUCGAUACGGGCAGACUAGAGUGUGGUAGGGGAGAUCGGAAUUCCUGGUGUAGCGGUGAAAUGCGCAGAUAUCAGGAGGAACACCGGUGGCGAAGGCGGGUCUCUGGGCCGUAACUGACGCUGAGGAGCGAAAGCGUGGGGAGCGAACAGG
rnacentral:rRNA from 1 species